rnacentral:rRNA from 1 species
CACGUAGGGCGCGAGCGUUGUCCGGAAUUAUUGGGCGUAAAGAGCUCGUAGGCGGUUUGUCGCGUCUGGUGUGAAAAUCCAGGGCUUAACCCUGGACCUGCAUCGGGUACGGGCAGACUAGAGUGCGGUAGGGGAGAUCGGAAUUCCUGGUGUAGCGGUGAAAUGCGCAGAUAUCAGGAGGAACACCGGUGGCGAAGGCGGAUCUCUGGGCCGUAACUGACGCUGAGGAGCGAAAGCAUGGGGAGCGAACAGG